GGUAGUGUAGUUAUAGCUGCAUUAUUUGACGUUAGCGACAGAAGAAGCACCGGCUAACUCCGUGCCAGCAGCCGCGGUAAUACGGAGGGUGCGAGCGUUAAUCGGAAUUACUGGGCGUAAAGCGCAUGCAGGUGGUUUGUUAAGUCAGAUGUGAAAGACCCGGGGCGUCAACCUCGGAAUAGCAUUUGAAACUGGCAGACUAGAGUACUGUAGAGGGGGGUAGGAAUUUCAGGUGUAGCGGUGAAAUGCGUAGAGAUCUGAAGGAAUACCGGUGGCGAAGGCGGCCCCCUCGGACAGAUACUGACACUCAGAUGCGAAAGCGUGGGGAGCAAACAGGAUUAGAUACCCUGGUAG
rnacentral:rRNA from 1 species